rnacentral:rRNA from 1 species
AUGCAGGCAUGAGUAGCGAAAGACGGGUGAGAAACCCGUCCGCCGGAUGACCAAGGGUUCCAGGGCCAGGCUAAUCCGCCCUGGGUAAGUCGGGACCUAAGACGAGGCCGACAGGCGUAGUCGAUGGACAACGGGUUGAUAUUCCCGUACCGGUUUACACACGACCAUGACGAGCCCAGUGAUGCUAAGCCCACAAAGUCGAGGAACUCUUCGGAGGGAAUCGGUGGAGUGCGCGAACCGAACUGGUAGUAGUCAAGCAAUGGGGUGACGCAGGAAGGUAGCUCAACCGCGGCGAUGGUAGACCGCGGCCAAGGUUGUAGGGCGAGAUGUAGGUAAAUCCGCAUCUCAUACGCCUGAGAACUGAUGGGGAGCCGACUUAGGCGAAGUGAGUGAUCCUAUGCUGCCGAGAAAAGCCUCUAGCGAGUGUGCAAGCCGCCCGUACCCCAAACCGACACAGGUGGUCAGGUAGAGAAUACCAAGGCGAUCGAGUGAACUGUGGUUAAGGAACUCGGCAAAUUGCCCCCGUAACUUCGGGAGAAGGGGGGCCGCGGCUGGUGAUGGGACUUGCUCCCUGAGCUGGCUACGGCCGCAGAGACCAGGUGGAAGCGACUGUUUACUAAAAACACAGGUCCAUGCAAAGUCGCAAGACGACGUAUAUGGACUGACGCCUGCCCGGUGCUGGAACGUUAAGGGGACCAGUCAGUUCUUCGGAGCGAAGCUGAGAACUUAAGCGCCAGUAAACGGCGGUGGUAACUAUAACCAUCCUAAGGUAGCGAAAUUCCUUGUCGGGUAAGUUCCGACCUGCACGAAUGGCGUAACGACUUCCACGCUGUCUCAACCGCAGACUCGGCGAAAUUGCACUACGAGUAAAGAUGCUCGUUACGCGUGGCAGGACGGAAAGACCCCGGGACCUUUACUACAGCUUGGUAUUGGUGGUCGGUUCGAUUUGUGUAGCAUAGGUGGGAGACUUGGAAGCCCGGACGCCAGUUCGGGUGGAGUCAUCGUUGAAAUACCACUCUGAUCGUAUUGGCUGUCUAACCUCGAUCCGUGAUCCGGAUUAGGGACAGUGCCUGGUGGGUAGUUUAACUGGGGCGGUUGCCUCCCAAAGAGUAACGGAGGCGCUCAAAGGUUCCCUCAGCCUGGUUGGCAAUCAGGUAUCGAGUGUAAGUGCACAAGGGAGCUUGACUGUGAGACUGACAGGUCGAGCAGGGACGAAAGUCGGAACUAGUGAUCCGGCGCCGGCAUGUGGAAGCGGCGUCGCUCAACGGAUAAAAGGUACCCCGGGGAUAACAGGCUGAUCUUGCCCAAGAGUCCAUAUCGACGGCAUGGUUUGGCACCUCGAUGUCGGCUCGUCGCAUCCUGGGGCUGGAGUCGGUCCCAAGGGUUGGGCUGUUCGCCCAUUAAAGCGGCACGCGAGCUG